rnacentral:rRNA from 1 species
UACGUAGGGUGCAAGCGUUGUCCGGAAUUAUUGGGCGUAAAGAGCUCGUAGGCGGUCUGUCGCGUCUGGUGUGAAAAUCCAGGGCUUAACCCUGGACCUGCAUCGGGUACGGGGCAGACUAGAGUGCGGUAGGGGAGAUCGGAAUUCCUGGUGUAGCGGUGAAAUGCGCAGAUAUCAGGAGGAACACCGGUGGCGAAGGCGGGUCUCUGGGCCGUAACUGACGCUGAGGAGCGAAAGCGUGGGGAGCGAACAGG